UUUACGGUAAAAAAAAUAACAAAUAAAAAAUGGCGUCCGUGAUCACGUGACCCGUGCGAUGUUUGUAAACAUGCGUCAGCCACAUGUGAUUCCGGCGAUGACGACGUGUUUCUCGGAGCUCUCGGCCAAUCGGCGUCCGGAGGAGUGUCUGUGGGCGGGGCCGCCUGGUGCUUGCGCUAUGGAAAAUCGUUACUGUGGGAUACGCCGCAGAUAAACGUUGCGCUCCCGGGGCCGACGGCUGCGGCGAAGGGGGCGACCGCGGCGGGCCGACCAUUCGCGGAGUGGGGGAAGGACCGACGACACCCCAGCGGCUCGGCAGGUAAAUGAAACUGCGUCAGAAGAAGAAGAUCCGCUGGGAAAUUUCCGCCAAGGCGGCCGGUACGUAGCGACAUGGCGUCAACUUGAGCCCGCAACUGUGCGUCACAACUUGACUCGGGGUGCGCGACAGUGCGAUGUAAACAAAAGGCGUGAAGGCAAAGCCCCGAAUAGGAUGCUGCGCAAGAGAUGGACAGUGCCUACUCGCGCAGUGGAAGAGGAGCGUCCGUAUUACGCAGUUCACAAUGGCACAACACCUAACGAGUCGACACCCUGCUUCCCCCCCCCCCCCCCCCCCACACACACUUUUAACCAUUCAAUUUAAAGCGCCCACUUCAAUUCUUUUGAUUCAGUGUGUUUUUUAUUUGAUGGAGAAAGUGGCUCGACGAGAGUGGUGACGCAACUCGCGUCACCACAACAUUUUGCUGCGUCACAAGCUGCCAGGAGGUCAACAAUAAUGUCUCCUUUUGAGUGCGCACUUGAUAUGAUGAAAGUGGUUGCGGCGUGGGAGCUCAGGGGGGCGCUGCCGAGUAGCCCUCGAUCGGCCCUCCUUCGAGAAGGAUGCUGGCAUUCGAUAGCAUAGGAUAAAUAAACAGACGGAAACCGAACAAAUGCAAGAUGCUUCCGUUCGGAACCUAUGAGUCAGUGGAUGCUUAUGAUGGGGUGGUGAAUCAUACUUUGGGAGCCACCGGGCACACAAUCCUAUGGGCGAUUUUACACAAAAUCUAAAAAGUAAGGAACGUUUUGUCGGAAAUUGAGGCGCCGCAACACGUAUGGAGUAUCGCAACUUCCUCGCGACCAAUAAAAGCAAUUCAAAACGGCCCCAAAUGGCUCCUCUCGGACACUGGACAACCCUGGCUCACAAUCAAACGGCAGGCACACCAAAAAAGGGGCCAACGUGGCCGACACCGACGCAACUGUUGCGCGGUGUGCGUGUUUCGGCAACUCGUUUUCAUGAGGGGCCGACCGCAGGCCACUGGUUUUGCUGAGUUUUAGAAUUUCAGUUGCCACGUUGUCGAUGCCAAUUAAAAAUGCACGAGCUUUCACAAAAAAAAAAAAAAAGCCCAAACAUUUUUGGGUUUUAAGUAAAAGCUCUCUGGCAGCCACCUUGUGCCAGUCUAUAGUGUUUCACAUUACAGUAAUACUUCAGUAUACAGCUUAAUCUGUUCUGACCACGAUCGUAACGAAAAUACAUACAGGCUUGCAAUAUUUAGCGGUAAAUGCGUGUGACAAAGAGUCACAAACGAAUUUUUUCAGUCCCGUUCGCCGGCGUUGCCCGGUGUGCUGCGGACCUAAGAUAAAAUGAUAGCGAUAUAGUUGAUAACAAUGCCACCAAACAUAACUUAACCCAACAUGCGGUAGGAGGCCACACUUUAAUCCAUCCGACAUUGUGUACGUGCAUCGGUAGGUGCAGCUGUUUUGGUUAGCAACAUGCUCAAAUGGUAGUUCAUAGGGCUUGGACUCACUGUCUCAAUCCCCAUUAGCUAUUUGCAUUGACAGUGACAAAUGACCAGCAAAUCACAAUCAAAUCAUUACUUCCAAAAUAAAGACAUCAUUGUCCAACAAAUGAAAAAGUUCAGUUUGAAAACUAUCUCUAGCCCCCUGGUUAUGUCCUGGUCGCAGUUUUUUCGGGGGGUCACAGAUUUUGCCACAAUACCAGAAAAGACAUUUUGGCUGGCGCUUUUCCCUCCGGAAAAACGCUUUUUUGAAAAUGGCUUACUUUAACGAGGAUCCCUCGCCGCAUCGUGGCCGCGGUCAGUUUUGCACACUCGCCGCUCUCGGUGCCAUACAAUGUGUAGAUUUGCGCUGGCUAGCUGGGAGCAUCUGCUUCAACAAGCCAGCAGGUUAGUUUAGCUGCUAGCUAGCAGUAGCUGGCUAGCUCUCAUCAAUCCUCUGCCACAAUGUGUUCAAUGAAUCUUGCGCAACUUUAUCCAAGUCAUCUGUCGGUCACAGUCUAUCAUGAACAUCCAUGCAGCUCCUCGGGCACGGCCAUCGGGCGCCUCGUUCCACGGAGAUUAUUAUCUUGGGGGAGACUGCUCCAUGAUCCAGGUGAUCGGCACAGGCGAAAGAUAAGUGGACGUAGACCUUACCCCUGAGGAAAAUGUGAUUUGUGGUCAUCCAAGACAAAGACAACGCUCAUUGCUAGCAAGAGUUUUUGUAGGACCUGAAUGCUGUGUCAUCUGCGGCCCAAAUGUCCUUUCCGAGGCCGACCAGUGCAACAAGUGACCCACUUCCGCGGAUAAGGAAGCGUGACCUCAAUAGUUGUUUUGCUGCUCUUUGAAGGGAGGGGUGCAGGCUCUUGCGCUAAAUUAACAACCAGCGCCCUCGCUAAGUGUUGUGUCGUCACAUGCGGCUCCCCGGAGGGACGUUGCUGUUGUCCAGCAUGAAAAGUACAAAAAAAACCAUUUGCAACAAGCGCAACCUAUUCUGAUGGCUGUUUAAAGCCACCUGCAGCACUCGUGAAAGCUUAAGCGAGCGACCCAAGAUUGUAGAAUUGGAGGCGAGAGAUGCUAAAAUUAAACCGGGGCUGCACUCGACCACGACGAUGAUGAUGAUGUAUUAAUAGACAAGUGAGGCGGCGUUUGUUCGUAGGUAUCAGACUUGCCAGAAUGACCGUAAGUGUGCAGAAAGCAUCUCAGCACCUCACUGAACCAUAAUUGGAGAUUAAUUAUUCGUCUAAAUAUGAAAUUCAGCUACCGUGGGUCGAAGUUGAAGAAGAAGAAGAAGAAGACAUGAGGGCAGUUGGUGUUGGAGAGGAGGAUGCAGGAGAGAGGCUCUCAUGGCAAAGGAUGAGGCGCUGUGGCCACCCCUAAAGGGACAAGCCCAAAGCAAAAGAAGAAGAAGAAGAAGAAGAAGAAGAACCUUAAAGAAUGAGGCGGCACCAAUCGAUUGGUUUUUUUGUGUUUUUUUUAACGAUAAUACCAAUUUGCACAGACAGCAGAAUUGAAAUUCCACUUGGAGCUCGCUCACAGGAAGACGGAGGCAUUACCCGCGUAGCAGACUGGAAACCAUUUAAGGGUGUAGUACCUUUUGCCUUAAGUGAUCUGGGAUCGGCUCGAGCCCCCGCUGGGACCCAGAACAGGUUUAGCAGUCGAAAAAUGGAUGGAUAAGAGACAGAGUCUUCAUUCUAUGCUGUUCUGAUAUAUUACACUGGACACUUUUGGUAGGAAGACACAGAGGUAAUUAAGCUAAAGACUGCAAUUUUCAAAUUAUGAAACAAUUAUUCAUACCCAUGAGUAACCUUUCAUUGCUCAGUGACUCUCCGUACUGUGUUUGUAUGUCUCCAAAAUAUUUUCUGUCAAAUGGCCAUUGUUUACCGAAAAAGAUAAAAAAGAUAUCACUCACCACCAUCAUGACAAACAUUCAAAUACAAUAACAUAUUAGGCCUAAGCGUUCAUCCAAAACGAGGCAGUGUUUUUUUUCUAAAAAGUGUACUUAUUACUGUAAGACACUAUAACAGUAUGCACUUUGAACAUUAACACUUCACUUGAACAUAAGAAAGAAAAAGAAAAACGACUUCAAUGAUUCAAUUAAAAAAUGUGGAAAAGCAAAGACUUCUUAAAGAUAAGAUGUACAUGUAUUGUAUAGGGCUGCACAGUGGGCGACUGGUUAGCACAUCUGCCUCCCAGUUCUGAGGAUCAGGGUUCAAAUCCGGCCGUGCCUGCAUGCGUUUUCUCCGGUUUCCUCCCACAUCCCCAAAACAUGCACGGUAGGUUCAUUGAAGAAUGUGAGUGCGACUGCUUGUUUGUUUAUAAGUACCCUCCGAUUGACUGGCGACCAGGGUGCGCCCCGCCUCUCGCCCAGAGUCAGCUGAGAUGGGCACGCCCGCGAAGGAUAAGCGGCACGGAAAAUUGAUGGAUAUAAAGUUAAAUACAACUGAACUGUACUUCAAAAAAUGUACCAUACUUGAAAAGUAGAACAAACUGGAUUUUUAAAAAAUUGUGUUAUGUGUGGCUUUGUUUGAUCCCCCCCCCCUUUCAGCUUGUGCUGUUAGGGGUCGCCACAGCGUGUCACCCUUUUCCACGUAAGCCUAUCUCCUGCAUCCUCCUCCCGAACACCAACUGCCCUCAUGUCUUCCCUCACGACAUCCAUCAACCUUCUCUUUGGUCUUCCUCUCUUGCCUGGCAGCUCCAUCCUCAUCAUCCCUCUCCCAAUAUACUCAUUCUCUCUCCUCCGGACGUGACCACACUCACCAUUGCUCUGGCCUGUAUUUCAAGUCCUCCACCCUUGCUCUCUCUUCUCCCUGUAGCCUCACUCUUCCCCCACCACCCCUCUCAUUCAUGCACAUCUAUUCGGUCUUACUUGGGCUAAUCUUCAUUCCUCUGCUUUCCAGUGCAUGCCUCCAUCUUUCUAACUGUUCCUCCACCCGCUCCCUGCUCUCACUGCAUAUCACAAUCUCAUCUGCGAACAUCGUGGUCCACGGGUACUCCAGUCUAACCUCAUCUGUCAGCCUAUCCAUCACCACUGUAAACAGGAAGGGGCUCAGGGCCGAUCCCUGAUGCACUCUGUCACACCUACAGCACACCUAACCACUGUAAUAUUCUAACAUACUUCUCUGCCACUCCAGACCUCCGCAUGCAGUAUCACAGUUCCUCUCUGGGUACUCUGUCCUAGGCUUUUUCGAGAUCUACAAAUCAGAAUCAGAAUCAUCUUUAUUUGCCAAGUAUGCCCAAAAAACACACGAGGAAUUUGUCUCUGGUAGUUGGAGCCGCUCGAGGACGACAACAGACAGUCAAUUGACAGAGAACACUUUGGAGACAGAAAGACAUUGAGAAAAAGAAUGAAAUAAUUAAACAUGUCGCGGGUCAAAUUGACCCGGGAACACAAUUUAUGUUCCUGAUAAAUUAACAUUACAGAAGGAUUCUGCUUUUGUUCCCUUGAUCUUUAUAGCUUUACCUGUACCUUUUCAGCACGAAGGUACAUUAGAGUCUAAUAAUUAUGGGUUGCGUUAUUGUUGAUUGUUCUUUGAGGGUUGGGAACGGCCCGCUCAACUUGACCGCACAAACCGUUUCGAUUUAGAAAUACAUUAGCCCGAUGAGUUUGCCUCUCUCAUGCCUGAUAAAUUAGGACCUCUAAUCUGUAAGAGGAUUAACCACCUACUCUGUUUAUACGUACACACGCACACACAUGCACAUAACCAGGCAUUAGGUGUGCAAAGCAUCGUCACCGAUUCGAAUGUGAUUCAAUACGGUGACAAUGCACGUGAUUAAUUUGGAUUUACUGGUAAAGACUGUCCAUCCCAAAUGCAGCGCGCCACAGGGAGGAGUGGACUCAAAACAGAAGAAAGGAAGUGGUGUUGUGGCCUUAAAAGUAAAAAAACAACAACAACAACAAAAUGACAGAAACACUAAACAGCGUGACAACAAUUGUUUUAGAAGAUGAAGCACAACGGAGUGAGGAUUAGCCCCAGAUUGACGAGUCAAAUUGUCUCCGAAAGACACACUAAGGUUUUUGGAUUAAGUUGCUUUGUCAUAGUCAGCAGGAUGACUGCAAGGGGAAUGAAAUCUCGUGUCCGGCUUUGCCUUAAAUGUAAAACAAGACUUUUGAACGACGUUUCGUGCAAAUUUGAUUUUGAAUUAGGCCUUGGAACAAGGUGCAGACCUGUGAAAAGGACAUGGGUUUUUCUGUGGACCUGUACAGUAUACUAUUUAUGUCCAAAGUUGGCUGUGCUUCAUCACGGCGCAGUUGCGCUCGUUUGUGCCAGUUUUGGAAGUCGUGCAAUCUUUCCGCAUCUGACCCACUUCAGAAGGAACGCCGGGACUCAAACAACAGGUUGUGUCAACACACUGGAAAAAGAUUAAGAUUCUUAAAAAAAAAAAAAAAAAAAAUGUAGUAUUGCUAGUGCCUGUACCCACUCAGAAUGUUAUCUAUUAUUGUAUUGUUUCAUGAUUUUAUGUCUGAGCAAUGUUUAAACACUUUUAGUAGAGCAUUGUUUUUAUAAAUCCAUUUUUUUGCUGUUCAUAGUUGGUUACGGUCCGCUGUAACAGGGUUGAGACGACUUACAAACUGUACUGUACCACAGUGUUUAUCCGCGGUUGCUAAGCAGGCGCUGCUCGUGCAGAGCAAGUUAGCAUAACACUCAUCAUUGCUCCAAAAAAAUGAUGAAAAAUUUGUAAAAAUUCAAAUGAAAAAAAUGGUACCGGCAGCUAUGCCGGCAAACAUUCUUGAAGACAUUUUCACACAACAAGUUAGUUCUUGUCGUUCUGUUGAUUUUUAUUGUGCUCGGUGGGGGCUAGCAUGGUGAAGCUAUCGCGUUCACCAUGACACGUAAAUUAUGCACUAAAAUUGCUUUAAGCAAAUUUGUGUUUGAAGCCAGAUUUGAACCCGGGUCCCCAGAACUGCAAGGCAGAUGUGCUAACCAGUAGUACACCAUGCCAGCUUCCAACAUAACAGUGAUUUGAAAUAUAUAUAUAUUUUUUUUAAAAAGUCUGAUUUUGUGUGUUUUGCAGAUGGCGGGCCUCAGGCCCACUAAGACGAACAAGGCUUCCUCCCCAGGGAACCGGUUUCAGAUGGUGUUUUAGAGUCUAAAAUCCCAUCUAGCACCAUUUGAAAUCGGUGUUCUUGAGCAGGAACACACAUCGGCGGGCAUCGACGGCAAAGUUGCGUGACCUCACCAAGGAUGACCGUUUUCCUCUGGUGUUCAGAGUUGCCAUCAUGUCUAGCACCAUUUGAAAUCGGUUACAUUGUGGAGGGAAGCGCGACGCAGCUGUGUUGAUGUGCUGCCUUACAUGGCCAGCAGGUGGCAGCCGUGUGACAUCCGGGGUUGCCCAAUGGUCGUGUUUAUUUAUUUAUUUAAAGUCUUAUUUUGUUUUGUAAUUGCUGACAGGUUAUUGUUGUUGUACCUAUUUGUGGUCAAAUUUAUGUGGGAAAUUUAUAUGGUCACACCCCCCCCACCACCAUUAAAUGGUUCCAAAUAAUAAACUGGUAUCUCACUAUC